rnacentral:rRNA from 1 species
GACGAACGCUGGCGGCGUGCCUAAUACAUGCAAGUUGAGCGAUGAAGCUUGGUGCUUGCCCCAAUUUGAAGAGCAGCGAGCGGGUGAGUAACGCGUGGGGAAUCUGCCUUUGAGCGGGGGACAACAUUUGGAAACGAAUGCUAAUACCGCAUAACAACUUUAAACAUAAGUUUUAAGUUUGAAAGAUGCAAUUGCAUCACUCAAAGAUGAUCCCGCGUUGUAUUAGCUAGUUGGUGAGGUAAAGGCUCACCAAGGCGAUGAUACAUAGCCGACCUGAGAGGGUGAUCGGCCACAUUGGGACUGAGACACGGCCCAAACUCCUACGGGAGGCAGCAGUAGGGAAUCUUCGGCAAUGGACGAAAGUCUGACCGAGCAACGCCGCGUGAGUGAAGAAGGUUUUCGGAUCGUAAAACUCUGUUGGUAGAGAAGAACGUUGGUGAGAGUGGAAAGCUCAUCAAGUGACGGUAACUACCCAGAAAGGGACGGCUAACUACGUG